rnacentral:rRNA from 1 species
UUCAUCGAUGGCCUGCCUCAGUCGGGAAGCGUCAAUUGCAUGUUGGUCAUCAUGGAUAAAUUGACAAAAUUUGCUCACUUCCUGCCCCUGGCGCAUCCCUAUAUAGCUUCAAAGGUGGCACUUCUUUAUACGAACCAUGUCUUCUGGCUCCAUGGAUUCCCAGGCUCAAUCAUCUCCGACCGUGACCCAGUUUUUACUAGCCACUUCUGGCAGGAGUUGUUCAAGUAUGCAAGAACAUGACUCGGCAUUAGCUCAGCUAACCACCCACAGACGGACCGCCAAACAGAGCGUGUCAACCAGUGUUUGGAAACCUUUCUUCGCUGCUUCACACAUAUGUCCUCGUCCCUGAAGUUUUUGGAUUCCCUUGGCCCAAUUUUGGUGCAAUCCCUCUUACCACUCAAUUGUUGGCAUGUAUCCUUCCGGGCUAUGUAUGGGCAUGAGCCACGUCAGUGGGGUAUUACCGCAACCAACGCCUGCUCGGUGCUGGCUCUGUGCUCUUGCCUUGAUGAGCGCGCAGUAGUGCAAGAAUUACUGCAACAACACCUUCAUCGCGCUCGGCAGUGCAUGAAACAUCAGGCUGGCAAGAAGGGGUCAGUUCGAACCUUUGCUGUGGGUGAUCAAGUUUACCUGAAGCUGCAGCCCUAUGUGCAAACAUCAGUGGCCGCACACGAUUGUCACAAGUUAUCCUUUAGAUUCUUCGGACACUACAAGAUCAUCAGUUGUAUCAACCCUGUGGCCUACAAACUUCAGUUGCCGGAUCAUUCACAAGUGCACCCGGUCUUCCACGUCUGCCAACUGCGCAAGGCUCUUCUCCCAGGUACAACAACAUCACCGGACCUUCCUACUCACUUUGACAUUCCUGCAGUUCCUGGAGCGAUCGUGGACCAACGUUGGCGCAAGCGUCGUGGCGCCAUGGUGGUGCAGGUCCUUGUUCGCUGGUCCAACCCAGCAGCAGUCGCUGACUCCUGGGAAGAUCGUGUGGCGAUGCAGAGGCUUGGGGUCAAGCCUCAUCUCAAGGAACGAGGAUAUCAACACCCCUGA